GAGGCUCGUGUUGGUCCUCCGUAUGGGGGGCAGAGUCCGCUGGAUCCAGCGGUCUGGAUACCUCAUCACCAGCUUGCUGCUCCCCAGCUCCACCCCCUGGACAGAAGCAGACGGUGCAGUUAAUCGAGCGAGCCGUGUGUCACCGCGCGGCUUUCGGUGCCAGGGAAACACUCACCUGCAGCUUCUCCAGGGCUCUGGCAGCCAUGUUGGCAUUCUCGAAGUUGACGAAGGCACAGAAGCGCUCGUGAAGAACUCUGAUGCUCUCUAUCUCGCCGAACCUGUAACCACGGAAACCUUCAGGACAACAGUGUGGUUCAAAUGUACAGAGAGCGACAGCUCCUGGAUGGUCGGAAAGGGAAGACAGCAGGAGAAAAGAGAGAGAGAAGAAAACUACAUUGACGUGAUAUUUUUCAUGGGCCACAGUGGACGUUGUGUACGUUUGGUCCUGAAGAUGGUCGAUGCUAAAGGAGACUGACUGGUUAUGUAAAACAUCCACAGCCACACUGUGUGAUUGUGAGCUUCGCUUACAGCCAUACGACCUACCCACUGUGGUCCUGCUGAGGGGGGUACUUCAGGGCUGAAGGCCUGCUGUCAUUGAGCGCAGUCAGAAGCGCAGCAUGUUUCUGCUGUCGUGCUGCCCCCCAGUGGACCAAAGCGGUACUGCAGCUGGCUCUUACUUUUGGCCUCGC